rnacentral:rRNA from 1 species
CCGGCUAACUUCGUGCCAGCAGCCGCGGUAAUACGAAGGGACCUAGCGUAGUUCGGAAUUACUGGGCUUAAAGAGUUCGUAGGUGGUUAAAAAAGUUGGUGGUGAAAUCCCAGAGCUUAACUCUGGAACUGCCAUCAAAACUUUUUAGCUAGAGUAUGAUAGAGGAAAGCAGAAUUUCUAGUGUAGAGGUGAAAUUCGUAGAUAUUAGAAAGAAUACCAAUUGCGAAGGCAGCUUUCUGGAUCAUUACUGACACUGAGGAACGAAAGCAUGGGUAGCGAAGAGGAUUAGAUACCCUCGUAGUCCAUGCCGUAAACGAUGAAUACUGGGUCUUCGGGGAAUCGACCCCCUGUGGACCGAAGCUAACGCGUUAAGUAUUCCGCCUGGGGAGUACGGUCGCAAGACUAAAACUCAAAGGAAUUGACGGGGGCCCGCACAAGCAGCGGAGCGUGUGGUUUAAUUCGAUGGUAAACGAAGAACCUUACCUAGGUUUGACAUAUAAGUAGUACUGACCCGAAAGGUGAUGGACCCGCAAGGGAGCUUAUACAGGUGCUGCAUGGUUGUCGUCAGCUCGUGCCGUGAGGUGUUGGGUUAAGUCCCGCAACGAGCGCAACCCUCGUGGAUAGUUGUUUUCUUUAUCCAGACUGCUUUUACAAGAGGAAGGUGGGGAUGACGUCAAAUCAUCAUGGCUCUUACACCUAGGGCUACACACACGCUACAAUGGACAGUACAGACGGUUGCUAAGUCGCAAGAUGGAGCCAAUCCGAUAAAGCUGUCCCCAAUUGGGAUUGUAGGCUGAAACUCGCCUGCAUGAACCUGGAGUUGCUAGUAACCGCAGAUCAGAAUGCUGCGGUGAAUACGUUCCCGGGCCUUGUACACACCGCCCGUCACGUCAUGGAAGUUUGAAACACUUGAAGUCGUUGGGCUUACCUUUUAGGAGGCAGGCGCCGAGAGUGGGGCAAAUGACUGGGACGAAGUCGUAACAAGGUAGCUGUACCGGAAGGUGCGGCUG